UGGGGAAUUUUGGGCAAUGGGCGAAAGCCUGACCCAGCGACGCCGCGUGAGGGAAGAAGGUCUUCGGAUUGUAAACCUUUGUUGACAGGGACGAAAAAAAUGACGGUACCUGUCGAGGAAGCCACGGCUAACUACGUGCCAGCAGCCGCGGUAAUACGUAGGUGGCGAGCGUUAUCCGGAUUUACUGGGUGUAAAGGGUGUGUAGGCGGAGAGACAAGUCAGGUGUGAAAAUUAUGGGCUCAACCCAUAACCUGCGCCUGAAACUGUUUCCCUUGAGUGUCGGAGGGGUAGAUAGAAUUCCCGGUGUAGCGGUGAAAUGCGUAGAUAUCGGGAGGAAUACCGGUGGCGAAGGCGAUCUACUGGACGACAACUGACGCUGAGACACGAAAGUGUGGGGAGCAAACAGG
rnacentral:rRNA from 2 species